rnacentral:rRNA from 1 species
GUGGGGAAUAUUGGACAAUGGGGGGAACCCUGAUCCAGCCAUGCCGCGUGUGUGAAGAAGGCCUUUUGGUUGUAAAGCACUUUAAGUGGGGAGGAGGCUUACCUGGUUAAUACCUGGGCUAAGUGGACGUUACCCACAGAAUAAGCACCGGCUAACUCUGUGCCAGCAGCCGCGGUAAUACAGAGGGUGCGAGCGUUAAUCGGAUUUACUGGGUGUAAAGCGCGCGUAGGUGGUUAAUUAAGUCAAAUGUGAAAUCCCCGAGCUUAACUUGGGAAUUGCAUUCGAUACUGGUUGGCUAGAGUAUGGGAGAGGAUGGUAGAAUUCCAGGUGUAGCGGUGAAAUGCGUAGAGAUCUGGAGGAAUACCGAUGGCGAAGGCAGCCAUCUGGCCUAAUACUGACACUGAGGUGCGAAAGCAUGGGGAGCAAACAGGAUUAGAAACCCGGGUAGUCC